rnacentral:lncRNA from 1 species
UUUUUAAUCCUUGGGGAAGUAGUUCUCUCUUGUGUGUCUUCCCCAACACUCUCUCUCUCUUUCUGUCUCUGACAGGCCCAGUUUGAGAUGCCUUAUGUGGUACGGCUGCACAACUUCCACCAGCUCUCUGCACCCCAGCCCUGUUUCACCUUCAGCCAUCCCAACAGAGAUCCUAUGAUUGACAACAACCGCUAUUGCACCUUGGAAUUUCCUGUGGAGGUGAACACAGUACUACAUGGCUUUGCCGGCUACUUUGAGACUGUGCUUUAUCAGGACAUCACUCUGAGUGAGUGUCUAUGGCAGUAGAUGGCAGAGUAUGAGGGUGUGCUUCCUGGGCAGCUUAUAUGUACAUGUGUCAUUUAGAUUUAUGGGGGGCCCAGUGCUCAAUGAAUGGAGAUCUUUGUGUGAUUAGAGAAGAGACCCUCUUCAGCAUAGGCAAAAGUCACAGCCAUGGAGACCUCUGUUUUUUCAUUAUUUUGUCCACACAGGUAUCCGUCCAGAGACUCACUCUCCUGGGAUGUUCUCAUGGUUUCCCAUCCUCUUCCCUAUUAAGGUAGGAACUGCUUUUAAGACUCUCUAGUUAAGCAGUAACCUUUG